CUGAGGUACUAGUCUCAACCCCUUUGUGAACUUUUACCUAGUGUUUGCUUCGGCAGGUUUUCCCUGGGGAGGGAAGUAGCCUUCGGGCAAUCUGCCAGAAGGCAUUUUUUACUCUGAUUUAUUUUGAAUUCUGAGUUUCUAUUAAAAAGAAAA
rnacentral:misc_RNA from 1 species